rnacentral:rRNA from 1 species
GAUGAACGCUGGCGGCGUGCCUAAUACAUGCAAGUCGAGCGAAUGGAUUAAGAGCUUGCUCUUAUGAAGUUAGCGGCGGACGGGUGAGUAACACGUGGGUAACCUGCCCAUAAGACUGGGAUAACUCCGGGAAACCGGGGCUAAUACCGGAUAACAUUUUGAACCGCAUGGUUCGAAAUUGAAAGGCGGCUUCGGCUGUCACUUAUGGAUGGACUCGCGUCGCAUUAGCUAGUUGGUGAGGUAACGGCUCACCAAGGCAACGAUGCGUAGCCGCCCUGAGAGGGUGAUCGGUCACACUGGGACUGAGACACGGCCAAGACUCCUACGGGAGGCAGCAGUAGGGAAUCUUCCGCAAUGGACGAAAGUCGGACGGAGCAACGCCGCGUGAGUGAUGAAGGCUUUCGGGUCGUAAAACUCUGUUGUUAGGGAAGAACAAGUGCUAGUUGAAUAAGCUGGCACCUUGACGGUACCUAACCAGAAAGCCACGGCUAACUACGUGCCAGCCGCCGCGGUAA